UACGGGGGGGCAAGCGUUGUUCGGAAUUACUGGGCGUAAAGGCUCGUAGGCGGCCAACUAAGUCGGAUGUGAAAUCCCCAGGACUCAACCUGGGAACUGCAUCCGAUACUGGAUGGCUUGAAUCCGGGAGAGGGAUGCAGAAUUCCAGGUGUAGCGGUGAAAUGCGUAGAUAUACUGGAGGAAUACCGGUGGCGAAGGCGGCAAUCCUGGACCGGCAUUGACGCUGACGGAGCGAAAGCUGAGGGGAGCAAACGGG
rnacentral:rRNA from 1 species